rnacentral:tRNA from 1 species
AGGGGUGUAGCUCAGCUGGUAGAGCAGUGGCCUCCAAAUCCACCGGUCGCGGGUUCAAGUCCUGCCGCCCCUGCCA